rnacentral:lncRNA from 1 species
CACUAUAUCGGUCUGUCAUCAUCCCUUGGCCUCUCACCUGAUGCAGCCAGUCCAGGGACAGAAUGGGGAUUCCCCGCCCCAGGGCACACAGGAACUUGACUGUCCGGCGGAUGCGAUCAGUGACCAGGCACCUGAUGCUUCUUUAUAUGUAUAAUGGCUGACCCUGGCGGGACUUCCUUCUCCACUUGUGUGUUGAUGUCCACUGUGGUGGAGGCUUGGCUUCUCUCCAGGUGGAUCCCAGGUGAUGUGCCAAAGUCAGCGCUGCUGAGACUUCUUCCUCGUCAUCUGUAUCGCUGUUGAUAACCAUGGAAGCUUGGCUUUUCUCCAGAGGGACAGCCUGUGGGGCCUUGCCUUCUUCCACAUCUGUAUCACUACCAGCCUGGCUCUCCUGCAGAUGGGCCAGGCCUGGUGCUCCAGGACCCCUUGUACCUACUCCAUGGAAGAUCUUCCUCUUCUUCAUAGGAAUGACAACUGGGGUUGCUGGGAUCCUCUCUUCUUCCGCAUCAGUGUCGCUGUCGAUGAAGCCAAAAGGCUGAGCCCUUUCCAAAUGGACCUCAGCUGGCCUUCCAGGAGGCCUGCUGUCAUCAUCCACAUCUGUGUCACUGUCCUCUCCAGGAGGUUGGCUCCUCUCCAGAAUCACCCCAGCUGGAACCACCCCAUUCCCUGCACCCCUCUUGACUUUUGUAUCAUUGUCCCUCUCCUUCACUAAAGGCUGAUCCUUUUCAAGCUGGAUUUCAGUUA